UGUUAAAUUUUAAUUUAUGUGUUUGGUAAAUGAAAUGUGAGGUAAGUAUUAUUAUUAUUAUUAUUAUGAGUGAGAAUUAAAUUAAAUAAUUGAUAUGAAUUAACAUUUGAAUUGUUUGUUGAUUAAAAGCGGGAAAUGAAUUUGAUUCGAAUUGUGAAUGGUAUUAAGGGUCUAUUUGAUAGGGAGAAAAUAUUUUCCGGAAAAUAUUUUCCGGAUUUCCCGAUGUUUGUUUGUUGUAAAAUGAAUUCCUAAGUAAAACAUUUUACAAAACACGGGUAAAAUCAUCUCAUCUUUCCAGAAAAUGUCUUACCGAUUUCUAAGGGGUAAGACAUUUUCCACAACUCAAAUCUCAACUAUCUUCACCCUUUCCACUGCUCCUCUCUUCACCCUAACGAUUGCAGCCUCAUCAUCUCUGCCUCAUCUUCUCUGCUAGUUCACCUCUUCUCUUUGCUUGCCUCGUUAGCGUGCUGGUUCACCUCUGCUGGUUUAUCGAAGAAGGCUGGGAAAUCUGCAGUUUUAAACAGUUUAAUCCGACACCCUAUUCUGGUUGAUAGAAGUCAAAAAUUCCGGUUCAGCAUCCAGAUCAAUCCCGACUUCAGCAUAACUUUGGUGAUGUAUAUUUUCUUUUGCUCAAGAAGCUACUGAAGGUUCGAUUGAUAAAGGCAAAGGACCUGCUAUAUAGAUUUCCUAUAUUUUUGGCGAGUUCCUUCUCACUUCCAUGUGCAGUGGUUUUCUAUAUCUCAUAGUUAUAUAAGCCUGCUAAGUGAAGGAACACUUUCUAAAGGACUACGCUAGAGGACAUCUGUUGUUGUGAGAUAACUACUUUUUUGUACUAUGCAUGACAAAUGGGGGCGAUGUCUAUUUGUGUUUUGAGAAGGAUAUGUACCUAAGACUCCUAUUGAUAAAUUAUGAUUUAAUGAAGUUUCAUUAAAUUUUAUGGAAUGGUUUUAAGGUAUUAUAUUUUGUUUGAUGAAUAAUAUCUCACUGAAAUUUAUAUGCCAUUUGACUUAUACUUUA